UAACUCGCUGUACUCAACUGUUCAGUUCAGUUCAUGUAAAAGUCAGGACUGCGUGACAGUGAGCCAGCAUGCUAAAUGCAAACCCGUCAUAGAUUAAUUUGACUAUUCACACCUGUGAUAUUCUUAUUGUCACCUGUCAAAAUGGCUGCUGUGCUAACGUUCCAUUUGCCUAAGGUGAACACCACCUCGCUCACCUGGUGGGUGAAGGUCCUUAUCUUUUCAAGGUGGAGGUAACAAGGCAGUCGGUGAAAUAGCGUUAGAUAACACAGAAAUGUUAGCGUGUUGUCAUUGUUCUCCUCCUAUACUACUCUAUAUGCGACACUGAGUAUUUUUGUGCGUGUUUUUGUUUCACGUAGCAUCAAGGCCCUGCUUAAGCUAGCUCGAUAGCUUGCUAUCCCUCAGAUGGAGCCCGACGUUCAUCUCUUAACAAAACUAAUUCUGAGAAGCCAUGGGGUCAGGGCGAGUUGAAUCUCAUGUCAGAAUUGUCCCCAUCUUGACCUGCGCCUGACUGGCCUCCCAGCAAAAAGCCCCUGUGAAGCAGAAGGAAGAGAUUGCUAUGCUGAUCUGAAGGUGAAAAACACCCUCCUCCUCCUCUCCCACACAUGAACAUCUGUCUCCGUGGCGUUGGCUGCACCACAGACUCUGACACCUCCAGAUGGAGAGCCCGCUGGGAGUGCUGAGCUCAUCCCCUCACGGUGACACAUUCUGUCCGUCCAGUGUGUUGGAGCAGUUUGCAGAGGUCCUCCUCACGUUUCCCCGCAAACUCUUGAAACUCCUCCUUGACUUCAGACAGUGGCAGUGAAACGGAGACAUGAUAAACGACGUGUUGAACAAAGGCCACAUUGAAAGGCCUGUCCUGCAACUUUCACAGAUGCCAUAUCCUCCCAACAAUAUGCAGCUACAAAAAAGGGGGGGAGAAAAAAGCAGUUAAGAUAUCAGCUGUGUGCAUGAAAACCAACUACUACAAGUCCUUUCUCAAAAAUGUAACUCUAAGCACACUUUAUCCCUGCAGAAUAACAAACACAGCAAACUUUCAUCCCAAAGCAACAACAUAUAGACAAAAGAAUUACAUUUUCUGGCCAUUUAAAUGAAUAUUUUCUUCCUUUUGAGAUGAAGUGUCAUCACCUACAUACUCCCCAAGAUUUGAAUUUGCGGCUGCUGCUACAUUUACACAAAUUCGGAUCUACAGGGUAUAUAUAGAUGACAGCCUCUGCAGUGGACAGUGGAGUAUACAUUAUAAACAACACAAGAAAUAAACAAAAACAAUAUAUUCACAAGGUUUUUGUGAACCAUGACAUUGGACCUUUCUAAUUAAAAACAACACAUGAUACCAUUUGUUUCAAGUAUGCUCUUAUAAAGUGUUUUUGUUAAUAAUUAUUAAUAGUUAUAUAUGUAAUCCGACAUUAAAAAUUGGUUAUUAAUUGGCCUUAAUAAUGUUGUCAGUAGGUGUAAAUGGUGCAAAAUCAAUAAUUCAUAGACGUAACCCCUCAUUAUCAGUCAGAGAGACUUUACACUUAUACCUGGCAGCCCAAAAGUUUCUUAAUGGCUUACAAGGGAUCUAUAAAGUAAUGAUUUAUUUAUCAUUAAUAAAACCAUUAGUUGAGAGCAGCAGCAAAAAACACUUCCAUCCAGUAUGCCUGCAUAGGGUUGCGAAUAUAUUUUACGUCCACAUGACCUCAUAUUAUGGCUCCGUUAUGGGUUUGUUUUCUGUUUUAGGUAAUGUAUGAAAUCAUAAACAUGUUAAUUGCACUUUACACUCUCUGUUUAGUGCAUAUAAUGAGCACUUAUCGGAGUGAUUCAACUGUCACAAGAUGGAGUACAGUCAAUAUGCCAAGUAUGAGGUUUGUUCUUGCGCACGGCAGUGUUUUACUGAUUUAGAAUUCUAAAAGUCGCUUUUAUAACCUGAGUUUCACCUCAGCUCAACUGCAGAAAUACUCACCUCACGACACUUAAGUGUAAAAAUACUCCGUACAAGUUCACAGUGAUUGAUACUUUAUUUUAUUUAAGGCAUCAAUAGAUAUUUAAUGGUGUCCUACCCUUUUUUUUUUUUUUUUUUAGUUUAGCAGCAUUUUAAUAUGAAUUGCUGGAGCCGAAAUGGUGGCCAGAUAAAUCUGAGGGGCAGAGGGGUGAUCAUUUAAGUUCCUUUCUUUCUUUUCCCUUUUAAAUUAUUUUUAUUCAUUCAUGUGAAAUACUGGUUAAUUUCACCCCACAUUUGGAGAAAUGUGUCAUUGAAACUGAUAACUAUAGUGGAGAGUGUUUUAAAUUUUUAGAUAAAAGUCUAAAUCAGACAAGUGGCUGCAAGAUGGGUGAAGGUGAAGGUUUCUUUCCCCCUCAUAAAUCCUACUCCACUUUUACUUAAAGGGGAAUGCUCAAGUAAAAACAGCUUAAAAAUGCUUUUAAGUACAAAAAAUCUGACAGUGAGAGUCUGACUUGUUCAAGAAUUAAACCAAACUGGGUUUUUUUUAAAUGAAAAGGCCACAGCCGACACACUGAUCUCUAAGUAUCAGCAAUUACUUUAACCUGUGCACAAACGUGAGCAGAGAUAAUGCAGCCAUAAACAUGAUACACACAUGUUCACAGUGACACCUUGUUUCUCUGUGUGUCUCUCUGCUCUACAGCUUUUAGACUUCAUGUCCUCUGAUGAGAGCUGGAGAGAGAAGAAAGGAAAAAAAAACCAUCCAUCAUCAGGCUGACCGGUCUGAGGCGCCCUCUGCUGGCAGAGGCGCUGCGCUGCAGAACACUGCAAUGGCGUGAAGUCACAACAACAACACCACCACAGGCUUCCAGAUGUUGAGCGAUAACGUGAAACCUUCAAAAGCGUUCAAGACUUGAGUGUGGAUGGUGACGGUGCAAAGUCUGACAGCAGCAGUGCGUUUCCUCCUGACGCAUCUGCGGCUGCAAAAGUCUACAUCGUCUCCUGACCCAGCGAUGAUCCCCGCCGCCAUGAAUUAUGCAUGAGAUCCGGGUGGGGAUUUCAUCACAAGCUUAACUUCUGACAUGCCAAACACGCAAUUUUGCUGCAAAGAGGUGAGAGGAGGUGCGAGCUGCUCGUCCUGCAUGGCUCCUGAUUCAGCACCAAGGAGAAGACAUGCGAGAGGCACACACACACACUCACACUCUCCAUCAUCAUCAUCAUCAUCAUCGUUACCAUCCUCACCUGCAGUGUGAUCAAGUAGACACUAGUUUCAGAAAAACAUGUGUCAAACACUGCGGUUUUGUCGCAGACGCUUAAAAGGCGCUGCAGCUUCUACGGGGUUAAACGGAGGCAGAGCAGCUGCUUGGAACAGCUCCCACAACACAUGAGAGGAAGAAGGAAAAAAACAAAAAGGAUGGUUUGGACUGGAUCAUUAACAUUUUUUUAGACUAAUCAUCUCAUUCCCUCUUGUGUAAACAUCAGGCCUACAGUGACAGUUCAGGCACAACAGAGCUGCAGCGGCGCACUUGUGCGCUCAGUUAAUCGCUGGUCGACUGGAAACAUGGUGCCCUUACCUUUGUUGAUAAUCCAUCAUGUUCCAGUGUGGCUGCCACUCCGCGCAAACUCCUUCUCAGCCGCUUUCUCCCACACAUUUCCCCACUUUGCUCAAGUGAUUUCAUGAAAGUAAUCCCAAUGCUGCAUCAUCCAGGAGCAGGAGGGAGCUCAUGCGCCCCCUUCUCCAAUUUUCACCGACAUAUACCAACACAAGUGCGGGCACACAUGGACAUGGCGGACAAACACGGUGAGGCGUCGCGCAAUAAUCAGGCUCCAUCGCCCACUUUUUCUUUUUUGGAGAAUCACGUGUAUACAUACGCACAGUGGAUCCGCAUCCACAACCACAACACCGACACACGCGUGUUGCAUUUACAAAGAGCCCAAGGAAGGGGAAAAAAGGGUUGUGUUACGAGUGUUAAGUGAAUGAGCAGUGGAAAACAGCAGCUGCAAUAUAACCUCAUGGGAAAUAAGUUCCCAUUCCUGCUGUCCACAUGACCGCCAGCGACCAAUCCUGGAGCCAGGCGAGUCGUAAACUUCCAUGGCAAAGUUGUAAAUUUUCAUAAACAGCAGCCGUUUUUGUGCUUAAGACAUUCUUUCUCAUCGCCAUCUUUUAUUUGUCCUCCAGCGUUUGAGAUGUUUAUGUGCGACGCUGCGUGUGAGAGGAUUUUUUUGAUUAUUGUGCUGCUGGAUGAUGACGAUGGUGAUGAUGACGCGCACUUGGUCGUGAUCCAUGCAAACUCUGGUUUUAGGUGAUUUUUAAAGUGUCCUUUACCGUGCUGCGAGCCUCUGCGGGAAGAGUUUCUGACGCUGUGAGAGAAACCAGGCCUCCUGGCCAGUGGGAUUGGAGUGGAGACGACGAGCAGGCUCUGCAGGGCAGAGGGGUCGUGGGACACGUGGGUGUAGCGCCGGCCCCUGUUAGCGACGUGGAUUUGGAUGCCGGGACGGCACUGUUUCUUGGAGUAGGAGUUGCUCUGGCUGUCCUGCCUCGCAGUCAGGGAGCUGCUGACUGUGAGGUGAAGAGAGAGGGAGAACAGUCUGAAUGAAAGCUCACUGUUAAAGUCUUACUUUGGUGUGCUGUCGUCUCUGCUGGUGGCUGUGGGUGUCCUGGGCUCCCUGCAGGACUCUCCCUCCCUCUGUUUGGCCCUGUAACAGCUGCUGGAUCUGGUCCACCACCCCCAGGUCCUGUAGUAGUUUCUUCCUCUGGAGAAGCAGAUGAACUCGCUCCUGCUCCUGCUCCUCCUCCUCCUCCUCCUCCUCCUCAUCCUCCCCCUCCUCCUCCUCUUCUUGUACUUGUGCAGCUUCAGGAUCGACCCACAUACUGGACAGACGGAGCUGCUGAAAAGAAAAAAAACAAACAGAAUGGCACUUGAUUCAAUUUGUGUUUAUGGCUUUACUGUAUAUCCUUCUGCGAGUAUGCAUUUCCCACAUAUUAGCAAUUACUGUCACCGAAUAACACUGUUUGUUUUUUCAGCCUCGACAAUAAAGCAUCAUCUGAAGGGAAUAUUAUUCUGGCUAAUGUAAAAUGGGUAAAUAUAUACGUAGACUACGACUCUAAAGGGGUCAGACAGACUAUGAACCAUUCAUCACAGGGCAGAAGCUGUUUGACUCCCUCUUGUGGCUUCGUGUGGACACUACAUCUCUAAUGACAGCGCCUCACCAGCUGAGGGUCACAGCCAGAGUCUGGAAUGGGGGUUUGUUUUGGUGCUCGUCGGGGUUUGGCUCGCUCCCCCGCCGUCUCCCCCUGCAAGUCUCUCCUGCGACUCGCCUUCAGGUCUUUCUCCUUCUGCUCCUGCUUCAGGAGCAACUCCUGCAGCUGAAGCCUAAACACAGAAAUGCACAAAAUGUAUUUAGAUAAUUCACAACUCAUUUUUUUUUGUUAAAUCACACUCCCUUAUAAAAUUAAAUAUUUAAAAAGUUA